ACGAACGCUGGCGGCGUGCCUAACACAUGCAAGUCGAGCGGAGACAGUGAGUAGCUUGCUAUGAGCUGUUUUAGCGGCGGACGGGUGAGUAACGCGUGAGCAACCUUUCCCAGACAGGGGAAUAACACACCGAAAGGUGUACUAAUACCGCAUAAGACCACGGAAUCACAUGGUUCUGAGGUAAAAGAUUUAUCGGUUUGGGGUGGGCUCGCGUCCGAUUAGGUAGUUGGUGAGGUAACGGCCCACCAAGCCGACGAUCGGUAGCCGACCUGAGAGGGUGAUCGGCCACAUUGGGACUGAGACACGGCCCAAACUCCUACGGGAGGCAGCAGUGGGGAAUAUUGGGCAAUGGAGGAAACUCUGACCCAGCAACGCCGCGUGGAGGAAGAAGGUUUUCGGAUCGUAAACUCCUGUCCUUGGAGACGAGUAGAAGACGGUAUCCAAGGAGGAAGCCCCGGCUAACUACGUGCCAGCAGCCGCGGUAAUACGUAGGGGGCAAGCGUUGUCCGGAAUAAUUGGGCGUAAAGGGCGCGUAGGCGGCUCGGUAAGUCUGGAGUGAAAGUCCUGCUUUUAAGGUGGGAAUUGCUUUGGAUACUGUCGGGCUUGAGUGCAGGAGAGGUUAGUGGAAUUCCCAGUGUAGCGGUGAAAUGCGUAGAGAUUGGGAGGAACACCAGUGGCGAAGGCGACUAACUGGACUGUAACUGACGCUGAGGCGCGAAAGUGUGGGGAGCAAACAGGAUUAGAUACCCUGGUAGUCCACACUGUAAACGAUGAAUGCUAGGUGUAGGGGGUAUCGACCCCUUCUGUGCCGCAGUCAACACAAUAAGCAUUCCGCCUGGGGAGUACGGCCGCAAGGUUGAAACUCAAAGGAAUUGACGGGGGCCCGCACAAGCAGCGGAGCAUGUGGUUUAAUUCGACGCAACGCGAAGAACCUUACCAGGUCUUGACAUCCACUUAAACUUACAGAGAUGUAAGGUGUGCUUGCACAAAGUGAGACAGGUGGUGCAUGGUUGUCGUCAGCUCGUGUCGUGAGAUGUUGGGUUAAGUCCCGCAACGAGCGCAACCCUUAUCUUCAGUUACUAACGCGUGAGGGUGAGGACUCUGAAGAGACUGCCGUUGACAAAACGGAGGAAGGUGGGGAUGACGUCAAAUCAUCAUGCCCUUUAUGACCUGGGCUACACACGUACUACAAUGGCGUUUAACAAAGAGAAGCAAGACCGCGAGGUGGAGCAAAACUCAGAAACAACGUCUCAGUUCAGAUUGCAGGCUGCAACUCGCCUGCAUGAAGUCGGAAUUGCUAGUAAUCGCGGAUCAGCAUGCCGCGGUGAAUACGUUCCCGGGCCUUGUACACACCGCCCGUCACACCAUGGGAGUUGGGAGUGCCCAAAGCCGGUGAGGCAACCGCAAGGAGCCAGCCGUCUAAGGCAAGACCAAUGACUGGGGUG
rnacentral:rRNA from 1 species